rnacentral:misc_RNA from 1 species
UUGACAUGAGGGAAUGCUCAGAGAUUUGGGAACUACCAAAGUCUGUUGAGUCUUUAGAGUCUUUACGAAUUGUAAUUUGUGAUGAAGAGAUUUCUUGGUUGUGGAAGGAUUUGGGAAAGAAUAGUCUCCAUGUUCAGGUAGCAGAGAAACACUACGAUUUGGACUGGCUUGAUGAAUGAAUAAAUUCUACUCUAUUGAUACUGGUAGAAAA